rnacentral:lncRNA from 1 species
AGUCUGCAUGAGUCAGUUUGUGUCUACAGCAGCUACUGUAUAUACACCCCAAAGGCUCUUUUAAGAGCCACAUCACGAGAGCGUCUUUGGCUUUAUUUUGUGUCACCCUCCACUGCCGCCUCCACAGAGUUUUUUCCCUGCCAUCUAUUACUUUAAGGUACUUAAUUUUCACUUUAAGUAAUAUUUGUGUCAUUAUUUUGGAUAUGUAGUCAUCUUGGUCACAUGUGUUAUUAGGCAUUGGGAAACUAUAUUCACAUUUGCAGUUAAGAAUCCAAGAAUCACUUAAUCCUCCAGCUAAACUAACUUACAUUAAAGAGGCAAAAUACAAAAUGUUAUGGGUGUGAAAUGAUUUUAUGAUUUAAUUUGGCAUACAGGCAAAUAUAAAGUAAUAAAGGGGGAAAGACAACUACAAGUGAUAAACAAAAAUCACUUUCAGUAUCUGGGAGUGCUUUAAGUAUUGAAAGUUUACAGAUAAUCAUAGUUAUGGGCUUUUCUUUUUAAUCAGCAUUAUUGCCUGCAUUCACACUAAUGCACAGAUCCAUUUCCACAUAUCAGAUGCUUUGUCCUGUUCUGAAAACAUAACUGACCGUUUACAUUA